GAUGAACGCUGGCGGCGUGCCUAAUACAUGCAAGUCGAGCGAACGGACGAGAAGCUUGCUUUUCUGAUGUUAGCGGCGGACGGGUGAGUAACACGUGGAUAACCUACCUAUAAGACGGGGAUCACUUCGGGAAACCGGAGCUAAUACCGGAUAAUAUCUUGCACCGCAUGGUUCAAAAGUGAAAGACGGUCUUGCUGUCACUUAUAGAUGCAUCCGCGCUGCAUUAGAUGGUUGGUAAGGUAACGGCUUACCAGGGCGACUAUGCAUAGCCGACCUGAGAGGGUGGUCGGCCACACGAGAGCGUAGACAGGGACCAGACUCCUGCGGGAGGGAGCAGUAGGGAAUCGUACGCAAUGGGGGAGAGCCUGACGGAGCAACGCGGCGUGAGUUGUGAAGGUGUUCGGAUCGUGAAGCUCUGUUAUUGGUGGUGAACAUAUGUGUAAUUAACUGUGCAGAUCUUGACGGUACCGAGUCAGAAAGCCCCGGCUAACUACGUG
rnacentral:rRNA from 1 species